rnacentral:rRNA from 1 species
CCUACGGGUGGCAGCAGUGAGGAAUAUUGGUCAAUGGACGAGAGUCUGAACCAGCCAAGUAGCGUGAAGGAUGACUGCCCGAUGGGUUGUAAACUUCUUUUAUAUGGGAAUAAAAUGUUCCACGUGUGGGAUUUUGAAUUUACCAUAUGAAUAAGGAUCGGCUAACUCCGUGCCAGCAGCCCCGGUAAUACGGAGGAUCCGAGCGUUAUCCGGAUUUAUUGGGUUUAAAGGGAGCGUAGGUGGAUUGUUAAGUCAGGUGUGAAAGUUUGCGGCUCAACCGUAAAAUUGCAGUUGAAACUGGCAGUCUUGAGUACAGUAGAGGUGGGCGGAAUUCGUGGUGUAGCGGUGAAAUGCGUAGAUAUCACGAAGAACACCGAUUGCGAAGGCAGCUAACUGGACUGCAACUGACACUGAGGCUCGAAAGUGUGGGUAUCAAACAGGAUUAGAUACCCGUGUAGUC